rnacentral:snoRNA from 1 species
AUGAUGGUGAUGAAGCAAUAAUUUUUCCAACACUUGGACUGAUGUUUAUUCAAGUGAUGAUACUUAUAUUGCAGCUGAAUCACA